UAAAUUAAAACUAACUUGUUUCAGAUAAGAUGACUUCGUGAUUAACAUUACAAGGAACCUUGGAUAUUUAUUUUUAGACAAAAUGGCAUGAAAAUGAAUGUGUACAUUCAUGUUUGAGGAGUUAUGUUUUGGUGACAAAUGCACAUUGCUGUUUUUAAAAUAAUGUGACAAAAUUAAAAUGUUUCACUUUUUCCCAAUUUGUGCCCACAUUAACAACAAAAGCUUCCAGUAAAUUGCUUUCCAGUAAGUGCCUCAUAGGUGUAAUUGCGUUUGUGUUGCAGAUCAUCUAUCUUGGAACAGGAUCAGCCACCCUGGCAUUCUUCCAUGAAUCUGUUGAGAAGUUUGGCUGUCCUCUCAGAGUACGUGGAGAUCACAGAGCUGAAAAUGUGGAUGUUGCACGCUUCAUGUUGACAAUCCGUGGCACUGGAAGGAGCAGCUUUAUAUCUGGGAAGAGUGUUCAGAACCAAAGGAUUGAGCGGCUGUGGAGAGACCUGUGGGCAGCUGUAACGUGCAUCUAUUAUGAUGUCCUCCACUACCUUGAAGAAGAGGGCUACCUCAGCAUCGCCAAUGAUACACACAUUUUCUGUUGCCACUUUGUGUUCCUCCCACGCUUGCAAGAUGACCUGGACACGUUUCACAGUGGUUGGGACAACCAUCCGCUGUGAACAGAGAGCCACGUGACCCCAGAACAACUAUGGGAGGGUAUGGACAUUCCUGACAUUGAGAAAACAGUGGACUUCCUUGUGAUGACCUGUUAAGCAUUGUGGUACCACACAGAGCAUGCCCACUCACUGAAAGACAGCUGACAGCUUUAAAAAAUGCAGUCAACCCGAGAGCUGCAUCUCAGUCCUUUGGUAUCAAUAUUUACAUUGCCACUGUUCAGUUUUGUGAGCAAUUUGUGGAUCUCUAAGAAUCAGAAAGACUUCAGAUUUGAAUUUGCGUGUUUAUUUUUUUGCAGGCAUUCAUUCCAUUCAGUAUAAUCAGUACUCAAAUAGAGUUCAUUUUAAGCACACUUUGAGUGCAGAGAUUUAUUUUGUUGUUUUAAAGGAACAGAUUAAACUGCAUUAAGAACCUUCAACUGUCUAAGACUGAAAAUAAAACAAGUGUAAACCCAUCUUUUGUUAACUUGAAUAGUUUAACAUGUCAACAUUUUACUGAACUGAGUGUAAACACAGACCCAGAUGUCACACAAGACCAAAUCCUGUGUGGCAAGUGCCGAUACAGGACAGGAUGUCAUUUUUAAAGGAUGUGUAAUCCUUGUAAUGCCCUGGGAUGCGAAUGGUCUCAAAGCAGGUGGAAGCUGUGGGAUAGCGGCCAUUGAUGACUUCCACUGAGAGACUUUGAAGGAGAACCUCCCAUCCAGUUGAUGAGGC